AUUCCGGUUGAUCCUGCCGGAGGCCAUUGCUAUCGGAGUCCGAUUUAGCCAUGCUAGUCGUGCGAGUUCAGACUCGCGGCACCGAGCUCAGUAACACGUGGCCAAACUACCCUACAGAGACGGAUACCCUCGGGAAACUGAGGUUAACCCGUCAUACCGAUCUCAGGCUUGAAUCGCAGAGAUCACAAAACGCCCCGGCGCUGUAGGAUGUGGCUGCGGUUGAUUAGGUAGACGGUGGGGUAACGGCCCACCGUGCCCAUAAUCAGUACAGGUUGUGAGAGCAAGAACCUGGAGACGGAAUCUGAGACAAGAUUCCGGGCCCUACGGGGCGCAGCAGGCGCGAAACCUUUACACUGCACGCACGUGCGAUAAGGGGACUCCGAGUGCGAGGGCAUAUCGUCCUCGCUUUCGUGUACCGUAGGGUGGUACACCAACAAGGGCUGGGCAAGACCGGUGCCAGCCGCCGCGGUAAUACCGGCAGCCCGAGUGAUGGCCGAUCUUAUUGGGCCUAAAGCGUCCGUAGCCU
rnacentral:rRNA from 1 species